rnacentral:rRNA from 1 species
GCCGCGUGAGUGAUGAAGGCCUUCGGGUUGUAAAGCCCUUUCGACCGGGACGAUAAUGACGGUACCGGUAGAAGAAGCCCCGGCUAACUUCGUGCCAGCAGCCGCGGUAAUACCAAGGGGGCUAGCGUUGUUCGGAAUUAUUGGGCGUAAAGGGCGCGUAGGCGGCUUUGUAAGUCAGGUGUGAAAUCCCGGGGCUCAACUCGGAGGCUGCCCCCGAAACUGCCCCGCUGGAGUGCGGGAGAGGUGAGUGGAAUUCCCGGUGUAGAGGUGAAAUUCGUAUAUAUUGGGAAGAACACCUGUGGCGAAAGCGGCUCACUGGACCGGUACUGACGCUGAGGCGCGAAAGCGUGGGGAGCAAACAGGAUUAGA